UUGAAAAUAGGAGAGAAAAAAAUGAAAUGUAAUGGAAUGAAAAUUAAUGAGGACCAAACGGGGGCAUAAUGAUACGAGUGGGAGGCAGUAUUUAAGAUGUUUUGGUUUCCCUAUUUAUGAAUUUAACUUCAUGGAGAAAAAUGCAUUUUGUGUUAAUGAGAAUGGGUGGAAUAGUAUUUUUAUGAAAAAUGAGUGGUUGAAAGAGAAGGAAAAGUUUUCGAUUUACGUGUAAUAUUAUUUUAUGAAAGAUUGUGUGGUUGAAAAUAGGAGAGAAAAAAAAUGAAAUGUAAUGGAAUGAAAAUUAAUGAGGACCAAAUGGGGGCAUAAUGAUACGAGUGGGAGGCAGUAUUUAAGAUGUUUUGGUUUCCCUAUUUAUGAAUUUAACUUCAUGGAGAAAAAUGAGAAGGGACAUUACAGUUUAGUUGGAAGGCUGCAAGUACAUUGAUUUCGGAGGUUGAUAUUCUGCUUCCUUCCAUCAGG
rnacentral:lncRNA from 1 species